CUACGGGUCGCACCAGUGAAGAAUAUUGCACAAUGGGGGGAACCCUGAUGCAGCAACGCCGCGUGGAGGAUGACGCAUUUCGGUGUGUAAACUCCUUUUAUAUGUCAAGAAAAUGACGGUAGCAUAUGAAUAAGCACCGGCUAACUCCGUGCCAGCAGCCGCGGUAAUACGGAGGGUGCAAGCGUUACUCGGAAUCACCGGGCGUAAAGGACGCGUAGGCGGGUUGGAAAGUCAGGUGUGAAAUCCUACAGCUUAACUGUAGAACUGCACUUGAAACUUCUAAUCUAGAGUAUGGGAGGGGGAGAUGGAAUUAGUGGUGUAGGGGUAAAAUCCGUAGAUAUCACUAGGAAUACCUAAAGCGAAGGCGAUCUCCUGGAACAUUACUGACGCUAAGGCGUGAAAGCGUGGGGAGCAAACAGGAUUAGAUACCCUUGUAGUC
rnacentral:rRNA from 1 species